rnacentral:lncRNA from 1 species
UUGUUUUCUUAUAUAUGUAAACCUAAACCUAAAGCAAAUUUUAUCGAAAACAAAAAUUCUUCUGCAGCGCUUUUCUCUCUGUCUCCUGCAUAUUUUUCUUGUAUCCAGAUCUUUUUUGUGGUGUCAAUUCUAAAUAUUUUCAGGUGAGAUUUUUACUAUCAAGUUCUAAAAAUUUGUUACGAUAUAUUUAUACAAUCGAAAAGUAUACUGAUCCAAAAAAUAAACCGAACCGAAUACAAACUGAACCAAAUAUAAACCAAACCAA